CUUCAGCAGGAUUUCCACCCCCAGCCCGGGCUGUCAGAGCCGGGAGCAGCAGCGGGAGAGGAGCGGGAGCGCCCCGGGCCCUUCCCCGCCCUCGGCCGCGGCUCCCCGGCCCGGCCCGGCCCGGCCCGGCCGCGGCUCCCGGGCCCGGGAUGUUUCACCGGGCCCGGGGAGGUUUCACCGAGCCCGGGGAGGUUUCACCGGGCCCGGGGAGGUUUCACCGAGCCCGGGAAGGUUUCUCCUCCCCUCAGGGAGGUUUCUCUCUCCCCUCACAAUCUGCUUUUUAAAUUUUUCCUCUCUGUCCGAGCGGUCCUGGAGGAAGCGAAAGGAAUGAUGUCACGGGAUUGUGGCUUGUAAACUUUAUUGUAACUUUUCUUCCGCCGCUUCCAGGUUUAGACAAUAGAACAAAGUGGUGAAAGAACAACAAAAUAUAGCAUUAGUUCCCCCAAUAAAGUAAUUCACGUAUACAGUAUACAUUCUUUUUCACAGUUAACCUAAAGAUCACUUUACGACUUGCUUCACUGUGCGCAUGCUAACUAAAGGAGAGAAAAAACGCUUUUAAAAUUUUUUUUCUUGUGUUUUUUUCCUUUUUUUCCCUUUUUUUUUAGAUUUUUUGGAAGAGACAAUGACAAAUCGGGAAGAAAAAAAAAAGGAAAAAAAAAUAAAAAGAAAGAAAACAGCCUAACCAAGGCAAAGAAGAGGAGGGGAAA